UGGCAAAACCCAGAGGAACAAUGGAA
rnacentral:piRNA from 1 species